UACGUAGGUGGCAAGCGUUGUCCGGAGUUAUUGGGCGUAAAGCGCGCGCAGGCGGUGCGGUAAGUCUCCGGUGAAAGCGCUCGGCUUAACUGGGCGAGGGCCGGGGAGACUGCCACGCUGGAGGGGAGCAGAGGCGAGUGGAAUUCCGGGUGUAGUGGUGAAAUGCGUAGAUAUCGGGAGGAACACCAGUGGCGCAAGCGGCUAACUGGCCGAGACCUGACGCUGAGACGCGACGGCGUGGGGAGCAAACCGG
rnacentral:rRNA from 1 species